UGGCGGGCGGUGUGUGAAUGGCGUCCUCAAGACCUGCUUCCCUCUGCAGCACACACGGCCAGCUCCCAUGCAACUGUAUUUGUGAACGAAGAAGAAACCCACAAGAACAUAAAGAGAGUGUGGAGAGAAAUAAAACAGCUUGCGGGCAGCUGCUGGAACCGUCCUCCUUGGACACCAGUGUCUUGUGUCCCUUCUGUGUCCAAGAACUCGCAGCAGAUGCCUUCCUGUCAAUUACGUCUGCAGCCCAAAGUUCAAGACUCUCACAAAGACCUGACCCGAGACUUCUUCAGGACGGACUGGUGACCCCAGGACAGGCCCUGAGAGCCAGGGUCUG